rnacentral:rRNA from 1 species
CAGGCCUAACACAUGCAAGUCGAACGGGGAUUUUGUUUCGGCAGAAUCCUAGUGGCGAACGGGUGAGUAACGCGUAGGCAACCUGCCCCCCGGAUUGGGACAACACCCCGAAAGGGGUGCUAAUACCGGAUACGAAGAUAGCACCGCAUGGUGUUAUUUUGAAAGAUGGCCUCUAUUUAUAAGCUAUCGCCGGGGGAUGGGCCUGCGUCCGAUUAGCUGGUUGGUGGGGUAACGGCCUACCAAGGCGACGAUCGGUAGCCGGUCUGAGAGGGUGAUCGGCCACAUUGGAACUGAGACACGGUCCAAACUCCUACGGGAGGCAGCAGUGGGGAAUAUUGCACAAUGGGGGAAACCCUGAUGCAGCAACGCCGCGUGAAGGAAGAAGUAUUUCGGUAUGUAAACUUCUAUCGACAGGGAAGAUAAUGACGGUACCUGAAUAAGAAGCACCGGCUAAAUACGUGCCAGCAGCCGCGGUAAUACGUAUGGUGCAAGCGUUAUCCGGAUUUACUGGGUGUAAAGGGUGAGUAGGCGGUUAUGCAAGUCACAUGUGAAAUGUCGGGGCUCAACCCCGGCCUGCAUGAGAAACUGUAUAACUUGAGUGCAGGAGAGGCAAGCGGAAUUCCCAGUGUAGCGGUGAAAUGCGUAGAUAUUGGGAAGAACACCGGUGGCGAAGGCGGCUUGCUGGACUGUAACUGACGCUGAGUCACGAAAGCGUGGGGAGCGAACAGGAUUAGAUACCCUGGUAGUCCACGCCGUAAACGAUGAGUGCUAGGUGUUGGCAGGAGACUGUCGGUGCCGCAGCAAACGCAAUAAGCACUCCACCUGGGGAGUACGGCCGCAAGGCUGAAACUCAAAGGAAUUGACGGGGACCCGCACAAGCGGUGGAGCAUGUGGUUUAAUUCGAAGCAACGCGAAGAACCUUACCUAAACUUGACAUCCCGAUGACCAUCUAUGUAAAGUAGACUUUCUUCGGAACAUUGGAGACAGGUGGUGCAUGGUUGUCGUCAGCUCGUGUCGUGAGAUGUUGGGUUAAGUCCCGCAACGAGCGCAACCCUUACUUUCAGUAGCCAUCAUCAAGUUGGGCACUCUGGAAGGACUGCCGUGGAUAACACGGAGGAAGGUGGGGAUGACGUCAAAUCAUCAUGCCCCUUAUGUUUAGGGCUACACACGUGCUACAAUGGCUGUUACAAAGUGAAGCGAUCUUGUGAAAGUGAGCAAACCACAAAAAAGCAGCCCCAGUUCGGAUUGUAGUCUGCAACUCGACUACAUGAAGUUGGAAUCGCUAGUAAUCGCGAAUCAGAAUGUCGCGGUGAAUACGUUCCCGG